GACCGCGUAGCUCAGUUGGCAGAGUAUUGGAGAAGUAUCCCAAAGGUCGCGGGUUUGAUUCCCACCGUGGUCA
rnacentral:tRNA from 1 species